rnacentral:rRNA from 1 species
GACGAACGCUGGCGGCGUGCCUAAUACAUGCAAGUCGAACGCUUCUUUCCUCCCGUGUGCUUGCACUCGAUUGGGACGAGGAGUGGCGGACGGGUGAGUAACACGUGGGUAACCUACCCAUCAGCGGGGGAUAACACUUGGAAACAGGUGCUAAUACCGCAUAACAGUUUAUGCCGCAUUGCAUAAGAGUGAAAGGCGCUUUCGGGUGUGGCUGAUGGCUGGACCCGCGGUGCAUUAGCUAGUUGGUGAGGUAACGGCUCACCAAGGCCACGAUGCAUAGCCGACCUGAGAGGGUGAUCGGCCACACUGGAACUGAGACACGGCCCAGACUCCUACGGGAGGCAGCAGUAGGGAAUCUUCCGCAAUGGACGAAAGCCUGACCGAGCAACGCCGCGUGAGUGAAGAAGGUUUUCGGAUCGUAAAACUCUGUUAUUAGGGAAGAACAAGGACGUUAGUAACUGAACGCCUCCUGACGGUACCUAAUCAGAAAGCCACGGCUAACUACGUG